GAUGAACGCUGACAGAAUGCUUAACACAUGCAAGUCUACUUGAACUUCGGUUUGGGUGGCGGACGGGGGAGUAACGCGUAAAGAACUUACCUCACAGUUAGGGACAACAUUUGGAAACGAAUGCUAAUACCGGAUAUCAUGAGUUUAGGGCAUCCUAAGAUUAUGAAAGCCAUAUGCGCUGUGAGAGAGCUUUGCGUCCCAUUAGCUAGUUGGAGAGGUAACGGCUCACCAAGGCGAGGAUGGGUAGCCGGCCUGAGAGGGUGAACGGCCACAAGGGGACUGAGACACCGCCCGUACUCCUUCGUGAGGCAUCAGUGGAGAAUAGUGGAAGACAGACCAAAAGUCUGAUCCAGCAAUUCUGUGUGCACAAUGACGUUUUUCGGAAUGUAAAGCGCUUUCAGUUGGGAAGAAAGAAAUGACGGUACCAACAGAAGAAGUGACGGCUAAAUACGUG
rnacentral:rRNA from 1 species